UGCGGGGAUGGAGCAACGUCGGCUCGAAAGGCUCAUAACCUUUACAUCAGUGGGUUCAAUUCCCACCCCCGUCACCCA
rnacentral:tRNA from 1 species